CGCUGAAGCCCCAGCUUGCUGGGGUGGAUGAGUGGCGAACGGGUGAGUAACACGUGAGUAACCUGCCCAUCACUCUGGGAUAAGCGCUGGAAACGGCGUCUAAUACUGGAUACGAGCAGCGACCGCAUGGUCAGCUGUUGGAAAGACUGGUUCGGUGAUGGAUGGACUCGCGGCCUAUCAGCUUGUUGGUGAGGUAAUGGCUCACCAAGGCGACGACGGGUAGCCGGCCUGAGAGGGUGACCGGCCACACUGGGACUGAGACACGGCCCAGACUCCUACGGGAGGCAGCAGUGGGGAAUAUUGCACAAUGGGCGCAAGCCUGAUGCAGCAACGCCGCGUGAGGGAUGACGGCCUUCGGGUUGUAAACCUCUUUUAGUAGGGAAGAAGCCUUCGGGUGACGGUACCUGCAGAAAAAGCACCGGCUAACUACGUGCCAGCAGCCGCGGUAAUACGUAGGGUGCAAGCGUUGUCCGGAAUUAUUG
rnacentral:rRNA from 1 species